CAAAGUGUAGCUUAAACUCAAAGCAUCCGGCUUACACCCAGAAGAUUUCAACUAAUGACCACUUUGA
rnacentral:tRNA from 1 species